GGGCCGUUAGCUCAGUCGGUAGAGCAGCGGACUUUUAAUCCGUUGGUCGAAGGUUCGAAUCCUUCACGGCCCACCA
rnacentral:tRNA from 2 species